rnacentral:rRNA from 1 species
UACGAAGGGAGCUAGCGUUGUUCGGAAUCACGUGGCGUAAAGCGCACGUAGGCGGACGUGUCAGUCAGGGGUGAAAUCCCGGAGCUCAACUUCGGAACUGCCUUUGAUACAGCACGUCUUGAGUCCGGAAGAGGUGGGUGGAAUUCCUAGUGUAGAGGUGAAAUUCGUAGAUAUUAGGAAGAACACCGGUGGCGAAGGCGGCCCACUGGUCCGGUACUGACGCUGAGGCACGAAAGCGUGGGGAGCAAACAGG